rnacentral:lncRNA from 1 species
GGAUAUACUAUCUGUGCCAUAUCAUGGGGCUGAAAGAAUCAUUUUUCUUCUUCCUCUGAUUGAUUUCAUCGUCAUCGUCAACUACAUAUACAAUGUGACCGGAAGGAACAAACCUCUUCUUCUCACGCUCAAUGUAUGGGGCGGGCGGGCAUAUGUAUAUGCGUGCGCGAGAGGAAGAGGUUGGAAACAUAAACCAGAAAAGAAAGAAGAAAGAAGAAAGAAACCUGUUUAUCCUGUAACUGCAGCUAAUCCUAAAACCACACCAACUGACUUCCUGAAUCAUCAUCAUCAUCGUCGUCGUCCUCCUUUUUUCAUCGGUUAUUGACAUCAUCGUCGUCGUCCUUCUUUUUUCAUCGGUUAUUGACAUCAUCACGUCGGUUUGCUCAUACCCCGUUUCCUUCCUCGAAGGUGACCCGGAGCUGCACGGGCCACGGCCGCUGCUGCGACGGCGCGCUCGCGAGCCCCUGCAGCAUCUUGAUCACGUCCACCGUGUCGUCCAGGUAGUACUUGGCCAUGCUCGGCUUCUUCCCCACGGUGCACGCAAACACCUCGCUCGUCGCCGGGAGCUUCACGCUGCCGUUGGCCGGGCACACGAUGCUCUCGAACAUGUCCUCGUCGGACCGGUCGUCCCCGAUGCAGAGCACGAAGUCAGGCGCCUUGCCGCCGCGCACCAUGGACGACAGGAGGCUCUCCACCACCACGCCCUUGCUGAUGCCCUGCACGACCACCACAGAGAGAGGAGAUAUUUCAUUCAUGUCAAACCAAGA